UAGGGAAUUUUCGUCAAUGGGGGGAACCCUGAACGAGCAAUGCCGCGUGUGUGAAGAAGGUCUUCGGAUCGUAAAGCACUGUUGUAAGUGAAGAAUGCCAUAUAGAGGAAAUGCUAUGUGGGUGACGGUAGCUUACCAGAAAGCCACGGCUAACUACGUGCCAGCAGCCGCGGUAAUACGUAGGUGGCGAGCGUUAUCCGGAAUCAUUGGGCGUAAAGGGUGCGUAGGUGGCACGAUAAGUCUGAAGUAAAAGGCAAACAGCUCAACUGUUGUAUGCUUUGGAAACUGUCGAGCUAGAGUGCAGAAGAGGGCGAUGGAAUUCCAUGUGUAGCGGUAAAAUGCGUAGAUAUAUGGAGGAACACCAGUGGCGAAGGCGGUCGCCUGGUCUGUAACUGACACUGAUGCACGAAAGCGUGGGGAGCAAAUAGGAUUAGAUACC
rnacentral:rRNA from 1 species